rnacentral:rRNA from 1 species
GAUGAACGCUGGCGGCGUGCCUAAUACAUGCAAGUCGAGCGAAUGGAUUAAGAGCUUGCUCUUAUGAAGUUAGCGGCGGACGGGUGAGUAACACGUGGGUAACCUGCCCAUAAGACUGGGAUAACUCCGGGAAACCGGGGCUAAUACCGGAUAACAUUUUGAACCGCAUGGUUCGAAAUUGAAAGGCGGCUUCGGCUGUCACUUAUGGAUGGACCCGCGUCGCAUUAGCUAGUUGGUGAGGUAACGGCUCACCAAGGCAACGAUGCGUAGCCGACCUGGAAGGGUGAUCGGUCAAACUGGGACUGAGACACGGCCCAGACUCCUACGGGAGGCAGCAGUAGGGAAUCUUCCGCAAUGGACGAAAGUCUGACGGAGCAACGCCGCGUGAGUGAUGAAGGCUUUCGGGUCGUAAAACUCUGUUGUUAGGGAAGAACAAGUGCUAGUUGAAUAAGCUGGCACCUUGACGGUACCUAACCAGAAAGCCACGGCUAACUACGUGCCAGCCGCCGCAGUAA